rnacentral:lncRNA from 1 species
GUUAAUUUACAAGGCUGUGAUAAUUUCUGUUGUACAACAAAGUGACCCAGGCAUACAUACACACAUAUCCAUUCUCUCUCAGAUUCUUUUCUCACAUAGAUGAUCACAGAAUACUGGGUAGGGUUCUCCGUGCCAAUCGUUCCAUGUACUUCAGUGUGAGAAGCAAGCUGUUAAUUAAGCGUUCCUCUACCCACGUCCAUACUGACCCGGGCUAAGCCAACCGUCCUAUCCCUUGUGCACCCAACUACGAAGACUCAACAAGGACUCACUGAUAACUGGAAUUCAGAAUAACUAAAAACACCAACAAUGGCCCAUCCUACCUCUGAACAGCUUUACCCACUGGCAUGACACUGUGUGGCAGGCCUGUUGGUCUAGACCUGCAGCCCACCUGUGGGCUGGCACCCGCAGCCUCUGCAAAUCUCGGAAAAUCUGUAAUGGAUCCAGGCAUUGGGAACAUGGACAGAGUGUCUUCGAAAGCCACGAAAAUCAACUAUCAGACUGUUCUUCCCAAUUUCGUGGGGAGCGGUGUAGGAGGAAGGAGAAGAUGACAAUGAGGUCUAGGACAUACUGCCUCAGGUACAGCCACGGAAAAGGGAAGGGCCAUACGCAGGCCCUUCAAAGUCCAGCUUCAAUCUCUCCGAAGCCUCUGCCACUGCUACAGCCUCCCCAGCCUAAAUUCAUCUGCAUAUUUCACCUUGCCCUAAUAACCUCAAGUGAGUUCUAACUUGGAAACUCAAGUAUUUUUUAACUUUUUAGAAAUCUGUGCCUUCUUCUAUGAAAGCACGUUUAAUUCAUGCUUUUUUUUUCCUAGAGGAUUCAUUUUUAGAAAACGGAAUUGGUGAUAUAAUUCCAAAUGAAAUGAUUGUUUUUAUAAGUGACAGAAAUGAAAUACUCUGACAAAUCCUACAGGGUAAUUGUUUCGUGGCUAAUGCUUGCCAUCAUCACCUAUCCUGAAUAUCAGAUGCUACAGCUUUCACCCCCUAAACAGAGCAACACAAUUAAUCUGAUUAAAAAGGAACCAUUUAUAGUUACAAAUUGCCUUCAUCUUAUGUUGAUCAAAGCACUCCACUGAUGAUAACUUGUUCUGAUUCACUAUAAUUUUUCCAUUGCUCAUUGCUAUCAACCUGAGUGCUUUAAUCCUUAUAGUUUUAAGUGAGUUACAAAUUGGUGUGUCAUGCAAAAAUUACUGAAGAAUCUAUCCAUCUUAUACUCAGCUCCCAAGUUGAUCAUUUUUUUUUUUUUUUUUGCCAGGGUUCUCAUUACAAUUCUCUUGAUGGCGUCAGAGCUCAUGAAAACUUGGGCUAGGAGACUAUAACAUGGUUUAGGAAGGUGAGGGAGAGAAGCAAGAGGAGGCUACUAAAUUGAAAUCUGCUCUGCAUGCCUAAGAUAUAGAUUCUAAGUCUUUUGAAUAGAAAAUGACUGACUCCUUUCUGUAGACUCUAAAAAGAUGCCUUCUCAGACUAAAAGACAGAAGGACAGAAUUUUUUUCCCCACCUUCAACCUUACACACAUUUAUUUUUUCUUGCAAACUUGAUGCAUGAUUGCCUGGCUGCUGUCAGCCUGUCUUACACAAAUUAUGCUAUAUCGACUGCAAAGAAAGGGCUCAUGACUUUGUAUAUUCAAUCUACCCCAUGAUGCUCUCAGGGAAGUGCCCAGUACUCCAGGAGCUUGGCUAAAUAAACACUGAGUUGAAAAGUAUAGACUAGAAAAAUUGCUUCUAUCUACCACAAAUAAAAAAUAAAACGUACUUCAUUGUUUUAUUCUGCCCCUUACAAAACGUGAUAUGAUUCCCCUUUCCUAAAUAAUAACCACACUCCCUUCCCAUGGCUCAAAUUCUUUUUCAGAUAUCGGUCUCGAGUUCAGCUACACUUGGGAAUUCUGAGUGCUAAGGAGAGAACUGGGUUCCUCUCUCGGCUGAAAGACAGCCAUGAACUCAGGUAGGGCCACCGGACAACAAAGAGCUUCCUCUUCUCUUGUGUCUGGGUUUCCUGACAUAGCCUGCCAGACCUAGGAAAUGCCUCUGUUUUCAUCACAUCUUGCUUUUAACUGAGCCCAGGUCAAGAGACACCCUUUGACCCACUGAUUACUGGUAUUCUAGAGAAAUCUCCAUAGCUGGGCACUUUGUGGAUCUGUCCAAUUCCGCAAUUCUCAAAUUCCGUCAGUCUCAAAAUAUUUAGGAACAGUAGCUACUAACACUGCUUUACCAAUAAUUUCAUAAUUAUACAGUGAUUUAAAAUUUUAAACAUCUUUCCAAAGGUACUGCACAAGUUUGCUAAGGCUAUCAAAGCAAAGCAGCACAGACCAGGCAACGUGAACAGGAGAAAUUUAUUUUCUCAACAAUGCUGCAUGGCAGAAGUCGAAAUCAAAGUGUCAGCACAGUUGCUUUCCUCUAAGACCUCUCCCCAUGGCUUGUGGAUGGCAAUCCUUAUUGGAUGUUUUCAUAAGGUCUUCCCAUUGUAUGUAUCUGUGUCCUAAUCUCUUCUUAUAUGAACACCAUACUCAAAGAACCUCGUUUUAAGCUAAUUGCCUUUUUAAAAGAUUUAACUCCAAAUACAAUCACAUUCUAAAGAAUUAGAAGUUAGAACUUCAACAUAUGAAUUUGGGGAGGAGGAGGCGCAAUUCAGCCCAUGAUAGGUAUGACUUCAUUUUAUAGGCUAUGAACCUAAAAUUAAACAAAACAAAACAAAAACAAACAAACAAAAAAACCCUGCACUGCCAAGCUCACUAGCCAUUAGGUAGUGUAGCGAAAAUGGAUCCCUGGGUCUCUGAUUCCAAAUGCAAUACUUUCUCCCUUACAAUCUGCUGCCACCGAAAUAAGUAAUUUGUGCCUAACCUUUUAACAUUUACAGACAACACAUUAUCUCAUUGAAUUUCCUGAGGAAAGAAAAUCGGUUAUUACCCAGGGAGCCAUGAGGGCAUCUGUGAUACAUCUCUACUCUGAAAAGCCUAGUGAGGGAGAUGAGUUUCUUCUAGAAUUCUCCAGCAGCUUCCUCUCGACCCCACUAGCCAGACCUCAACAUCGAGGUUGCAGGAAAAGGCUGUUGGACCAAAGCUUGACUCUCAAAAGUGUCCCUGAUUUUGGCUGUGGCUCAGAACCGACUUGUCCAAAAGAUCAGGAGAGGAUCAUCGCCACACUGCGCCCAAUUUGUCAGAGUCAGCCUCAGGCUGGAGCUAAAUCUGAGAGGACAUGGACAGAUCCAAAGACGUGUGGGCGUUCCCGAGUCCUUUACAGAGUCAGCCCAGGGGAGAGGACCUAUCCCCAUCAUUCAAAGUACCCAAACAGAUCUUAUGUUUUAACUUCGGAGAGUACUAUUUUUGGAAGAUUAAAAUGUAAACAAAAGUAUGUGAACGCCUGUUGACAUUCCACUCCCGGGUAUGUAUCUGGAAGAAAAACUAAAACACUAAAUGGAAAACAUACUUGCACCCCUGUUUACAAUAGCCACGACAUAGAACCCAAGUGCCUAUCAAGGGAUAAAGGGAUAAAGAAGUUGUGGUACAUUACUCAGCCACGAAAAAGAAUGAAACUGCCAUUUGCAGCAGCAUGGAUGGACCUAAAGUAUGUUAUGCUUAGGGAAAUAAGUCAAAGAAAGACAAAUACUGAAUCAUGCCACUUAUAUGUACAUUCUAAAAUAUGAUACAAAUGAAUACUUUAGCAAAAUAGCAGCAGACCCACAGAUACAGAAAACAAACUAGUAGUUAACAGAGAGGGAAGGGGGGAGGGGCAAAGUAGGGGAAGGAGAUUAAGAGAUACAAACUACUACAUAAAAAAUAAUAAGCAAUUGAAUAUAUUGGACACUGGAAAUUAUAAACAUUAUCUUGUAAUAACUUUUAAUGAAGUAUAAACUGUAAAAAUACUGGAUUACUAUACUGUACACCUACAAAUAAUAAUAAUAUUGAACAUCAACUAUACUUCAAUUUUAAAAAAAGAUUAAAAGUGUGCUGCUAGUGACUCUGGUGCAUACAAAACUUUUUUCUGUGUGUGUCUACACAAAAGUCAGGAGGUUGCAUUCAAGUGUCUGGUAUUAGUGCUAGUGAGAAAAACAGUAGAUUGCUCUGGGCCUCCAUGCUCUAACCUAUAGAGUGCAGGCUGGACUUCUUGUAGCCCUUUUUAUGAAUAACUCAAUGUUUGAUUUGCAUUUUGUCUUUACAAACUCCUCAAAGAUGCAGUUGGUGCAAAAUGCAAAAGCUGAACUGUUUUUUCCUAAGUCCUGACUAUGCCAGUAUUGCCUUCCUCCUUCACCUGAAUCUCCCAUGCCACUGACUGGGGCAGCAGGGACUGAGCUGGCAGUGUGACAGAAUGGAUGAGGUCCUUGCAGAACAAGGACUAAGGCAGCAAGCACUCAUGCAGAACACUCAGAGAAAGGGUGGCUGAAUCAUAACGCACACAGGGAGCCAAUAAGCAGUUGUGGAAGGACACACACCCAGGAGGAGCCGGGAGCAACAGCGUCUACACGUGGAUCAACAAAUUCAUCGUAAGGAAAAAACAAACAAGUCAAAGCAUGUUGGGGUUAAAAGGAUAGAGGUAGAAGAGGUGUAGCAUGGAGGUGUGCCCGGCUGCAAGGAGAGGGUGUGACAUACAGAGGGGACACCCCUGUUCUCUUGGCUGAAGUAUCUCCUGUGCCUAGGUUUUUUCUAGAAAUGUGUCACUCCCUCAUCAAAAGGAGGAUUCUACCUCCUCUCUCCUGGAACUGGGCAGGUUUGUGACUUACCGGUAACCAUCAGAACACUGCAGAAAUGACAGUGAAUGAUUCUGUGACUAUGUCAUAAGCAUGACCCAUUUUCCUCAUGGGAGCUCUGGCAGUAGCCUGAGCAUCCAGGUGAGCUGUCCAACUGCCUUGAAACUGCCGAAGCCCAGACUAGCCCAUGGGGAAAGACUGCAUGGAGAAGCACUGGAACAUAAAGGUGUCGGGCCAUCGCUCAGCUGCUCUAGUUCCUCUCACCGCUGUAGCGCCAACCACUGUCUGGCUGCAAUAGCAGGGGAGCUCCCAAGGCAGCAACACCCAGUUGAGUCCUUCCUGAAUUCCCAAUUCAUAAAAGUUAUGAGAGGUGAUAAAAUGAUUGUUAUGUAAGUCACUCAGGUUUGGAUCUAUUUACUACGUAGCAGUGGAUAACCGGUAACAUCAUUCUUUAUUCCCACUCCCCCUCCUCUAUUCUGCUUCCAAUCUGAAUUCUUAAAAUUUGGUCUACAAAUUCAGUUCUUUUCCUUUGAUGUAAAAAUUGGUACUACAAACGCAGGCAUCCGGAGAAGUCGAGAGGUCUUGAUGUUGUUUCUGCUCUCUUCAUCAAGAAAUAAAUAACCCUAGUAUGAUCAUUUUUUCCUGUUUAUAUGCAAAUUGUUUCAGAACUGAAAUGUCCCAUUUGUUUACAAUUGCUUCCAUAUUUUCCCCAAAUAAUUCAAAAUUCAAAAUAUGCAAUAAAAUCAGAGAUUUAUUGGUCUCACAUUUCUUUCCUCCCAGGAUUCACUGAACUGAACCAACCACAUUUCUUCGAGUUUCUCAUUUGGAGGAGGGGAUGGCUUUUCUUUUCUUUUUUUUGGUCUUUUCCUUUGUUCUUAUCUUGGCUAUUAAACAGAAUUAUGGAUGAUUUGCCAAUUUGAUAACUGACAUCUAAGGCACUUUAUUCAUUGAGAAAAUGAGAUAAUGGCUCAGCAGUCCAAGAAAUGAAAAGGAGAAUGGAUCACAUUUCUUUUUUUUUUUUUUUUUUCGUCUUUUUG